rnacentral:rRNA from 1 species
GUCUACGGCCAUACCACCCUGAACGUGCCUGAUCUCGUCUGAUCUCAGAAAAUAAGCAGGGUAGGACCUGGUUAGUACUUCGAUGGGAGACUGCCUGGGAAUACCAGGUGCUGUAGUCU